CAGCAAUCGAUUUAGAAGUUUGUCCAGUCCAUUCAGCUGUUCUUCUUCCCAGCGACCUUGGUACUAAAGUGCAUCGUGAUUUUUGGAAGCUUUGAGCAGAAGCUAUUGGCGUGGAAUCUGUGACCAGAUUUGCUGCAGGAUCUGAAGCUGUUAAAAUCCACAUGAAAUCAAUGAAGUCUCUGAUCCCAUGCCCAGUCUGUCCUGGUGCAAUAUCCGUGUAGUGAUUUCCCCUUCACAAUGCUGGGGAAUCAUGUCAAAACCUGGCUCUACUGUU